GGGCUAGCAAAGGGCGAGUGGAGGGACUGGAUGAGGGGAAGAGGCCGACGAAUCUGUUCUUAUUGGAGAGGAGCAGUAGCGCAUUGCUCUGAACUAGAGCUGGAAAGGCCAUUCUUCGAGCUGGAGUUCCAUUCUUCUUGAUAGAGAGGGUUUUUGAAGGGGUUAAAUGGGUGAUCAUCAAAACCAUAGAAUACUAAUGGUUUCGGAUUUUUUCUAUCCCAACUUUGGUGGUGUGGAGAGCCACAUAUAUUAUCUCUCACAAUGCCUGCUGAAGUUAGGUCACAAGGUGGUGGUUGCAACACAUGUGUAUGGAAAUCGUUCUGGGAUUAGAUAUAUGACUGGAGGCCUGAAAGUCUACUACGUACCAUGGAGGCCAUUCUUUAUGCAAAAUACACUACCAACAAUGUACGGGUUACUGCCAAUUAUAAGGACUAUCCUCAUUCGAGAAAGAAUAACCAUGGUGCAUGGACAUCAAGCGUUUUCAACAUUUUGUCAUGAAGCUCUUGUGCAUGCAAGAACCAUGGGAUACAAGGUUGUGUUUACAGAUCAUUCGCUGUAUGGCUUUGCUGACAUUGGAAGCAUUCAUAUGAACAAGGUCUUGCAGUUCACCUUGGCAGAUUUGAGUCAAGCCAUAUGUGUUUCACAUACGAGCAAAGAAAAUACUGUGUUGAGGUCGGGCUUGCCACCAGAAAAGGUUUUCGUUAUACCUAAUGCUGUUGAUACUGCCAUGUUCAAGCCAGCAGAUGAGCGUCCCAGCAUAGAGGAAAUUGUGAUUGUUGUUAUAAGUCGAUUGGUUUACCGGAAGGGUGCUGAUUUGCUUGUUGAAGUUAUUCCAGAAGUAUGCCGCUUACAUCCCAAUGUCCGUUUCGUUAUUGGUGGGGAUGGAGCAAAGCGGGUGCGGUUGGAAGAGAUGAGAGAAAAGCAUUCUCUUCAAGAUCGAGUUGAAAUGUUGGGAGCUGUGCCGCAUGACCAAGUUCGUUCUGUUCUAAUAUCUGGACAUAUCUUCUUAAACAGUUCCUUAACAGAGGCAUUUUGCAUAGCUAUAUUAGAGGCUGCUAGUUGUGGAUUGUUAACAGUUAGCACACGUGUUGGAGGUGUUCCUGAGGUUUUGCCAGAAGACAUGAUUGUUUUGGCGGAACCUGAUCCUAGUGCCAUGGUACAAGCGAUUGGUAAAGGAAUCUCUAUGUUGCCAGAGAUUGAUCCACAAGUGAUGCACAAGCGGAUGAGGGAGCUCUACAAUUGGCAUGAUGUUGCCAAAAGGACUGAGAUUGUAUAUGACCAUGCUCUAAAGUGCUAUAAUCAGAAUCUGCUGGAACGUCUUUCACGGGCAUCACAAGGAAACACCAGGCAAAAAGUCAUUUCAUAAACCACCUCACUACAUUAUCCUUUGAGUGUAUGGAUGUGAAUGCUUCUCCUAUUCGAGGGUCUAUAAUACUCCCUAGCAGACGUCAGAUAGGCUUCAUCUGUAUUAAUUUGGUACAUGCGACGAUAUUGAGGGUAGACUUACGUUGAUAUGUCACAUAUACGUGUCAUGUCAUGUGAUCUUCAAUGAAGACGCCUUUCCUAGCUAGACUCAACAUGUACUUAAACUAUUCAUGAUAUCAGUUCAUGUGGUCUUCUACCAUCUUUAUGUUAUCAAUGCUCACCACACCUCCAUGUACAUGGUCUUCUGUUAAACAUAUUUUGCCAUCAUAUUGUGGAAGCAAUGACCGUGGAGUACCUUUGUCGAAGUCACUCUCUGUGGUUCCUACUUCUUCUGCCUCUAGAGCAGAAACUACACCUAUAGGCACUAAGGAGCAUAUGUUGGAUGCAGUUGCUGCCUCUUAAAUCUAAUUCAUCGUUUGGUUGUUUGGUCAAAGGUAGGUAUUUCUGCUAAUGAAGGUUAAUCCUGUUCGUACCCUGCAGUGGCCUAAGUUUCAACCUUAUUGUCAAUAUGAGGUUUUUCAUGGAUAAUUGCCGGUACCUUUUGUAAGUUCUUUUGAGCCAUGAGGAGUUUCUGGUACCCAAUUCGUUGAAGCUUUUAUUUACCAAAACAAAGAAGUUCUUUUGAGCCAUGAGGAGUUUCUAAUACCAAUACAUUUUGCUACACACGCUGAUUCAUUUCUAUCUUGUUUUCACUAACACAGUUUGAUCCCAAGUGUGUAGCAACAGGCAAGGAAGAGUAUGACACUUUUAAGUUUAGCUCGGAAGCUUGUUUCAUUGCCAUUAGAUGGGAAACCUAUUGGGUGCAUAUGGAUAUCUAAAUCUAAAUUUAGUUACAAUGCAUGUUGAUGGUACUAUAGCAAGGAAUAGUGCAUUUUUUUUAGCAAAAGGUACUUGCAAGAGUCUGGCGCAAACUAGACAAAUAUAUUUGUCCUGUCGUAAAACUACUCACAGUCAGGACUCUUCUCACUAUACCUGUGACUCACCAUCGGAGAUUGCAUUAGAUUGUGGGCUUUAACAAUGUUUUUCUCAAUGUUGAUCUACUUGAAGAAUUGUUCAUGGAUACCAGGAUUUGAGCGUCCCUACUACUGAUACCUCAAUUGUUAAUCUCUUCCUGGGCAGAUCAUUGCCAUUCAUCUAGCAGUCCCAUGGCAGCAUCAUCUAUCUUGUAUCUGUGGAUGAUCUGGUUAUUACUAGCAGCGAUGAGGUUUGGAGACUGGAAUCCUCAUAUGGAAGAAAUACAAUCACGAAUGGCCAGAUAAAACUUCUAUGCUUCCUGACUAGCCUUUUCCCACCCCUAUGACAUGAAAUACUUAACUAUCAAUAAAUGCUUGUCAAUUGUCAUGUCUUCUUGGAUGUUGAGCUAUAUAGGAGCAUUUAGGGGCAUUGCAAUGUGUUACACAAGACCUGGCAUUGCUUGUACUGUUAAUUGGCUUAGUCAAGACAAACUCCCUAGGGCACUCAUUCGAAGAGAGUUUUGAAGUAAUUUAAUAUUACUCAGUCUGAUGCAGAUUGGGAGAGCGACAUGGCUGGUAGGUGAUCAACAAGGGGUUUUUCAACAUUUCCUGGUUGUAAUUCUAUCGCUUGGACUUCUAGAAAGCAUCAUGUGAUUUUGGAUUCACAACUGAGGUUAAAUACCCAAGUUUGGUGGAUGCUAUCAUUUAUGCAAUGUGGGUAGCUCUUUUAAACGAGAUGCGAAUUCCUCUGAUGGAUGCACCAUCUACAUGGUGUGAUAUAACUCAAGAACUGUGGCUUUAGCUGCCAAUCCUUUGUUGGACACUAAGACCAAGAAGUGGAUCUAAAUUUGCAUUUUACCAGAGAAAAGGGACAGAUGGAAUAUUACAAGUUAACCAAGUUUUUCUACAGAUCAGAUGAAGAUGGCCCUUAGAUAUAGAUAGGUUUUGUUUCACUGGAGGAUUUUACUAUCACUAACGAAUCUUUUUCUGGUGGAAUUGCUAUGAAGCUGAGAGUUGUCUGUGUUAUAGUCUUGUAAUCUUCUGUUUUGGCUUGCUGUUGCCAGACUUGUCCCCUUGCUACUUUUCUGUUGUGCCCCCUCCCCUCAGUUUUCUUUCUUUCCUUUUUCUUUUGGCCUUUUUUUUUUUUUUUUUUUUUGGGAGGGCGUAUAAUUCAGGUUGGAAUAUUCAUAAAUCUGCUAUUGUCUAAUUCUCUGUUGCUAGCAGAUUGAUUUAUGGUUUGGGAAGGGCAGGAGUCUGAUUAUAUUUAUAAAUUUCCUCUUCUUUGAAAGAAAUAUUGCUGCCAUA